AAGCGCCCGCGAGCCGCCGGCCGGGAGGGAUCCGGUUCCUGAAGAGAAAUAUGAAACGCAAUGGGAGCAGAAAUUGUUUGAAUAGGAGAAGUAGGUUUGGUUCUCGAGAAAGAGACUGGCUAAGAGAAGAUGUAAAGAGAGGCUGUGUUUACCUUUAUGGAGCAGACACUACCACUGCCACUACAACCACCACCACCUCCUCUUCCACUUCCUCCUCCUCCUCUUCCUCUGACUUACAUCUCGUCCUUUGCACUGUAGAGACACCAGCAUCAGAAAUAUGUGCUGGAGAGGGAAGAGAAAGUCUUUAUUUGCAACUUCAUGGAGACCUGGUCAGGAGACUGGAACCUACUGAACGACCUCUUCAGAUCGUUUAUGAUUACUUAUCCAGGCUGGGAUUUGAUGAUCCUGUGCGCAUACAGGAGGAGGCUACAAAUCCUGACCUCGGCUGUAUGAUUCGAUUUUAUGGUGAAAAACCGUGCCACAUGGAUCAUUUGGAUCGAAUCCUACUGUCUGGCAUCUAUAAUGUACGCAAGGGAAAGACCCAGCUGCAUAAGUGGGCUGAGCGCCUAGUUGUCCUCUGUGGUACCUGCCUUAUUGUUUCCUCAGUGAAGGAUUGUCAAACUGGAAAGAUGCACAUUUUGCCUCUGGUUGGUGGAAAGAUAGAAGAAGUGAAGCGACGGCAGUACUCCCUUGCUUUCAGCUCAGCAGGAGCCCAAGCUCAGACCUAUCAUGUCAGCUUCGAGACUUUGGCCGAGUACCAGCGAUGGCAACGGCAAGCAUCCAAGGUGGUGUCCCAGCGAAUCAGUACCGUGGAUCUCUCAUGUUACAGCCUCGAGGAGGUUCCUGAGCAUCUCUUCUAUAGUCAAGAUAUUACCUACCUCAACUUGCGACACAACUUCAUGCAGUUAGAAAGACCCGGAGGCCUCGAUACACUCUACAAAUUUUCUCAACUGAAGGGCCUGAACUUGUCCCAUAAUAAACUUGGGUUGUUUCCUAUAUUGUUAUGCGAGAUCUCUACCCUGACUGAGCUCAACGUUUCCUGUAAUGGAUUUCGUGACCUACCAAGUCAAAUUGGCAAUCUGCUAAAUCUUCAAACCCUCUGUCUUGAUGGCAACUUUCUGACUACUUUACCUGAAGAAUUGGGAAAUCUACAACAGCUUUCCUCCUUGGGAAUUUCCUUCAACAACUUUAGUCAAAUUCCUGAGGUUUAUGAGAAACUCACUAUGUUAGAUAGAGUGGUUAUGGCAGGAAAUUGCCUGGAAGUCCUGAACUUAGGGGUGCUGAAUAGGAUGAACCAUAUCAAGCAUGUGGAUUUAAGGUAAGGUGAUUUUUUACCACAGCUUCCUUCAAAUUGACUCUGGUGGACCUUUAUGUCUUCUCUUUAUGAAGAUUUGUUUAAAACAUUAGGGUUUUAAAAAUUUUGUUGUUGUUUUGAGACAAGAUCUCACUUUGUCACCCAAGCUAGCAUACAGUGACACGAUCUCGGCCCACUGCAGUCUUGACCUCCCGUUCUCAGGCGAUUCUCCCACCUCAGCCUCCCGAGUAGUAGGGACUUCAGGUGCACACCACGAGGCCUGGCUAAUUUUUUUCUACUUUUAGUAGAGAUGAGGUUUCACCAUGUUGUGCAGGCUGGUCUUGAACUCCUGGACUCGAGCAGUCCACCCACCUCAGCCUCCCAAAGUGCUGGGAUUACAGCCACCACACCUGGCCCAUAACUUUAGGUUUUUUGAAUAGUAUAGAAAUAUAUAUUUUCAAAGAUAUAGUAAGACUUUACUUAUCACUCAGUAGCAGAGAGAUUAAGGAUCAGGUAGUUGUACCAUGUGAUAUAGACUAUCAAAUUGCCUUUGACAAAGAUUGUUCUCACUUACCCUCCCAUCAGUGUAUAUUUUUUAUUUUAAAAAUUUUUUAUAGAGAUGGGGUCUUGCUGUGUUGCCCAGGCUGGUCUUGAACUCCCUGGCUCAAGUAGUCCUCCUGCUUUGGCCUCCUAAAGUGUUGGGAUUACAGGUGUGAGCCAGUGUGCCCGACCCCUCCACCAUUUUAUGAGAAUUCCCAUUUUCUCAUAUAUUUGUCAAUAUUGGAUUUUAGCAUUUCUUUUUAUUUAUCAUCAGUCUAGUAGGUUGAAAAAAGUAUUUCAUUGUUUUAAUCAAUGUUUAUUUACAUAGCAGUGAGGUUGAACAUCUUUUUUAUAUGUAUAUUAGUAGUUUGUAGAUUUCCAUAAAUGACCAUUUUUCUGUUGAGUCAUUGGGUUUCUUCUUGAUAUCCAUUGUAUUACAAUUAAAAUGUUAAAGGUUUCAUUACUAAGAACUUUUUAUGAGAGUUUUAUUUUCUAGUCAUAAUAUUUUCCUAAAGGAAGCUGGUAAAAAGAUACCUACUGGAUGUUCUGUUAUUUACAGUAAGCCAUUGAUGUAGCUUGUAAAGACAGUAAGAGAGAGUUUUUGUUUUUGUUUUUGUUUUUUAACCGCACCAGAGACUUGAGAGAUAUUUAUAGAAAUAUAGGAAAGUGAGAACAGACCUGCAUAAAUUAAAUCAUACACUCGUGUAGAAAAAACCCAGAGGUCAUUUUCUAUAAUUUGCCAUUGAACUCUUCCAUAUAUAUAUAUGCAGAUUAUUUCCUUGUCUGUUAAUUAAUUUUGUGUUUGAACCUUAGCACUAGAGAUAGAGCAGGCAUAGCAACAGGAAGAAGUAUGGCUCCAUCCUUAUACUCUGGACAUGGUACUGUCGUGACUGCUUUGCUGCUCACUAACUCAAAAGGUUGUGUUCAUCUUCCUGUUCAUUUGUCCUACUUAGUGCCCACCUGACAUUAUUAGGUAUUUGGAUGUAAGUGUUUAACUGUUCAUAGAUAUGGCCUCUUUUUUCCUUCUCUUUAUUAAUUUGUAUAUGUAUUUGCCAGUUUGGAUUGUCUAACUUGGCUGUACCUUGAGUUAUUCAUCAGCUGUAGUUAUUUAUAUAGUACCUUGCAAAAUGAGGCGAGUAGUGAAAUUCUUAAAUUGUUUAGGAAACAGAGAAAGGGGGCCGGGCACGGUGGCUCACGCCUGUAAUCCCAACACUUUGGGAGGCCGAGGCAGGCAGAUCAUCUGAGGUUAGGAGUUCAAGCCUGGCCAACAUGGUGAAACCCCAUGUCUACUAAAAAUACAAAAAAUUAGCCUGGCAUGGUGGGGGUGCCUCUAAUCCCAGCAACUUGGGAGGCUGAGGCAGGAGAAUCGCUUUAACCCGGGAGGCAGAGGUUGCAGUGAACUGAGAUCACGCCAUUGCACUCCAGCCUGGACAACACAGUGAAACUCCAUCUCAAAAAAAAAAAAAAGGAAACAGAGAAAGGGAUCAUACCUGUCCUACUUUUUAUUUUUAUUCUGGUAAGCACAUUUAAUAGACUCUUAUUUAUGAUUAUUUUCUUGUUUCUGCAUAUUAAGGAUGAACCAUUUGAAAACCAUGGUUAUUGAAAAUCUGGAGGGAAAUAAACACAUCACCCACG
rnacentral:sRNA from 1 species